rnacentral:rRNA from 1 species
GCGGAUGCCUUGGCUCUCGGAGGCGAUGAAGGACGUGAUAAGCUGCGAUAAGCUCCGGGGAGGGGCAAAUAACCUUUGAUCCGGGGAUUUCCGAAUGGGACAACCCGGCGUGUUGAAGACACGCCACCUGAUCAUUUCAGGAGCUAACGCAGGGAACUGAAACAUCUUAGUACCUGCAGGAAAAGAAAAUAACAAUGAUUCCCCCAGUAGUGGCGAGCGAACGGGGAAUAGCCCAAACCGUUCAUGUUACGGCAUGAUCGGGGUUGUAGGACUACGUCGUUGCAUGAAGACAUCGGAGAAGAACUUUCUGGAAAGAAAGACCAUAGAGCAUGACAGUUGCGUAUUCGUAUGUUGUCGAAGCAUAGUAGUAUCCUGAGUAGCGCGGAGCACGAGGAAUUCUGCGUGAAUCUGCCGGGACCAUCCGGUAAGGCUAAAUACUCCCGAGAGACCGAUAGCGAACCAGUACCGUGAGGGAAAGGUGAAAAGCACUUCGAACAGAAGAGUGAAAUAGUUCCUGAAACCGUGCGCCUACAAGCGGUCGGAGCUGCUUAAAGCAGUGACGGCGUGCCUUUUGCAUAAUGAACCUACGAGUUGCCUUUGCCGGCAAGGUUAAGUGUGACGACACACGUAUCCGAAGCGAAAGCGAGUCUGAAUAGGGCGUAUAGUCGGCAGUGGCAGACGCGAAACCAAGUGAUCUACCCUUGGCCAGGUUGAAGGCUGGGUAACACCAGCUGGAGGACCGCACCAAUAAGCGUUGAAAAGCUUCUGGAUGAGCUGAGGGUAGGGGUGAAAGGCUAAUCAAACUUGGAGAUAGCUCGUACUCCCCGAAAUGCAUUUAGGUGCAGCCUUGUGGGUUACUGAUGUGAGGUAGAGCGACUGAUAAGAUGCGAGGGCUUCACCGCCUAUCAAGUCUUGACAAACUCCGAAUGCGCAUCAGUUUUACCUCAGGAGUGAGGGCAUGGGUGCUAAGGUCCGUGCCCGAGAGGAGAAGAAUCCGGACCACCUGCUAAGGUCCCGAAAUGACAGCUAAGUUAAACUAACGAAGUCUGACUGCUAAGACAGCUAGGAUGUUGGCUUGGAAGCAGCCAUUCAUUUAAAGAGUGCGUAACAGCUCACUAGUCGAGGAGUCUGGCGUGGAUAAUAAUCGGGUAUUAAGUUGUCUACCGAAGCAGUGGGAUCAUUGAAAUGAUCGGUAGGGGAGCAUUCCAGUCAGCGUCGAAGGCGUACCGCGAGGUAUUCUGGAGCGUCUGGAAAAGCAAAUGUAGGUAUAAGUAACGAUAAAGGGGGCGGGAAACCCCCUCGCCGAAAGACUAAGGUUUCCUGAUCAACGCUAAUCGGAUCAGGGUAAGUCGGGUCCUAAGGCUCAGCCGAAGGGCGAUGCCGAUGGCAGAAACGGUUAAUAUUCCGUUACUACCUCCAGGAGUGAUGUGGAGACGCAGUAGUGACAAUGCCGCCAUCUGACGGAAUAGAUGGUUGAAGGGUGUAGAUGUUGAUCUUGGCAGGCAAAUCCACCAUGAGAAUCGAACCUGAUAGUAUGCCGCGUCCCUCGGGACAAGGCAAUAGUGCAUGUAAUCAUGCUGCCAAGAAAAUCCGCUAAACAAAAUCCUGUAGGUACCCGUACCGUAAACGGACACACGUAGUCGGGAUGAAUAUUCUAAGGCGCUUGAGUGAUUCACGGUUAAGGAACUAGGCAAACUGACCCUGUAACUUCGGGAUAAAGGGUCCCUACCCGGUGACGGGAGGGCGCAGAGAAUAGGUCCAGGCAACUGUUUAACAAAAACACAGGGCUGUGCGAAAUCGAAAGAUCCUGUAUACAGCCUGACACCUGCCCGGUGCUGGAAGGUUAAGAGGAGACGUCAUCGUUGAGAGAAGCGUUGAAUUGAAGCCCCAGUAAACGGCGGCCGUAACUAUAACGGUCCUAAGGUAGCGAAAUUCCUUGUC